ACCUACUACGCACGCUACAAAGAUUAUCUGUCAUCUCUGCAGAGCUGCGGUUUAUACCUCCGUGUUUGCAAAUGAGGAAACAAAGGCUCAGCGACCUUAAUUAACUUGUCCAAACGUGUCCACCCAACAAAUGGCAGAACCAGCCUGUGGAUCCAGAUGAUUUUAACCCCAGAGCCCAGGUUCCUUCCAGUUCCCACCGCCCGUGUCAUCUUGGGCAAGUACCCAACUGAGCAGUGUCGCUUUGAUGAAAAGAAAGAAUCCAUGUAAAACUCCUGGCACAGAACAUCAGUUAGAGCAAACAGAUGUGGAGAAGCAAUUCCUGAAGAGAUAGACCACUGGCAUAUGUCAGAACACAUGUGGUUUCUGGAAGCUUCCCAGGGGGCUGCUUUUUCACAUAGGAACAGUGGCACCCCAGCCACUAGAGGAACACUGCGUUUUGAAAGAAGAUUCUAAUCAAAGAAGAUUCUUACCUCAUUAGAAUUCACAUGGAAGGAGUUCCACAUGGAAGGCCCGGUCUGGAGUAAGUGUGAAAAGUGCAUCUUUCCAGCGUUUCUCAAAUGGUACCCCAUCAUAUGCCUUGACAUUCAAUCAGUCUCAUCACCAAAACCAAGAGUGGCUGGACCUCAAAGAAUGGGAACUUUGAGGAAGCUGAGAAAAAAAGCCUCUGGGAUGUGAUUUCACUUCACCCAAACCUCCUGUGAGCCUCUGGUUACUCUCUCCUGAAUGCAAGGCCUACAAAAAGCGGUGUUGAGUCGCAGCCUGGAAGGCUGAGUUCUUGUAGGACAAAAAUAAUCCCAAUCAACUGCUGGCCCUGCUGGGUCCAUCUGUUAUUGGAAUUAAGUCCUUCUUUUCAUUUUAUUCAAACUGAAGAAACUUUCUGGCAAGGUGUCAGGUUUCAAACAGAAAUGUCAGCCAAGGGCUCGUGAGGCCAAGGUCUGAGCAAACUUGAAUCAAUUUAUGCUUUGGGUAAGAAUUCACUUGGAAUUUAGUGGUCUGGUGGGUCCAUUUGUGAAAUGCUCCUCAUUUGCAAGUGCUGGACUAAAUCUUGCAAGGAGCUGGGUAUAAAGUCAACAUCAGAGGCCCAUGUGACUUCUACCCAAUGUGAGGGUUAGCAGUAAAUGGGUUGCAGGGCACACUAGAGUGAUCUUCCCCAGCAUAAGAGCAGAAAAGAACUGGGACAUGUUCUAAGUUCUAAUUUAAACCUUGCUCUAUGUAUGAACCAGUCAAAACUAACCCUAUUGAUGAUAAUAACAGCAAGAACCUUUAAUGAAUAUUUACCAUAUACCAGGCUCUGUGCUAGAUACCUUACAUUUACUGAUCAAUUAAUCCUCUUGAUAAUUACAAAAUGGAUUUUAUUAUUUUCUCUAUUUCAUAGUUGAAAAUAAAACAGAGAAACAGAGCUUCAGAAACAUGCACCAGCUUAAAAAAAAUAACCCUCACCUGAGGAUAUGUUUUAUUGAUUUUAGAGAGAG